AUGUGAAUGAGGGGCAGAACAAGAGGAGGAGAAACCAAAGUUAGAUGUGGAGACUCUGACACAGCAGACAACCUCCAUGUAGAAUUCUUCCCAGGCUCCACCAACUAUUGGCUCAUUUGUGGCGCCACCACGUCACCCUGCCCCGGUGCUGCCUGACCUGCACCCUUUGAGCAUGACAGGACAAACUGCGGGGGGCAUCAAGGAUGGCAGCACAGAGCAGGGGCCGCACAUCGGAUCUCUGUGUUGUGACGAGGCCGCCGCCGCCGCCGCCAUCUUGACCAGAAACCUGCUGGGUUGUGGCGUGGCCGUCAAGCAUAAAGACAACGUUGAAUUUAAUAGCAGCUGUGAAGAACGGCGUAAGCUACACUUCACUCCCAGCCAGGAGAAAGUCGAGGGCUACCGGAAAAAGCGACGACAAAACAACGAAGCAGCCAAGCGUUCCCGGGAGAAACGGCGUGCCAAUGACACGGGGUUAGAGAUGCGCGUCCUGAGCCUGCAGGAGGAAAACGCCCGUCUGAGAGCAGAACUGCUCGCCGUCAAGUUCCACUUUGGCCUGGUGAAAGACUUUUCUGGGGUUUCCAUCCUGCCCCUCACUCGGGCGAAUCAACCUAACUCUGACGAGCCCUCAAGCCAGCUCCCACAGCAGGACACAACGAGCCAAAAACCUCAGUCACUCUGUGACGAUGUGGAGGCCUCCAACUCACGCCACCUAAACCUGCUUCUUGAUCCGAGCUGUCCUGGACUAUCGACUAGAGUGCUAGUAGAGGAGCAGCAGGCCUACAGCAGCCGUCCUCUGUGGCCACAUGCAAACACCCAACACUCACCUGACGCUUUUAGGCGCCUUCCACACAAGCUCCGUUUCAAAGCUCCAUGGCCAUCCUGCGGCGGCCUCACUGGGCGGCCCGUCGCCACGGUGGGGCCUAAUGUCCUUGGAAGGACGCACCAACCAGCAACAUGGAGGGUUGCAGAUGAUAGCCGGGAAAAGGCGGUCAGCACUAUCACAAGCCAUCCUCUCUGGGUUCAACAGAGGAAUCCAGUCUAAGGUCUCAGAUAAGCUGCCUGUCACAGGAAGUAGCUGGACUCAAGCGGCUUUUCUGUCAGCAACAGCUCUCCAAGAAUGUUGGAACACCAACUCCAUGAUGCUUUUAGACCUCAACUUAUUUUCACCACUUCACAAUUACAACUGCCUUUACUGGUUCGCUUGUAACUACCAAACCACAUACAGCAGUGGUCCCCAACCUUCUUUGCCUCGGUUAAAUGUAGGCAUUAUUUUCAGGGGUCGGCUUUCCACUUAUGCCAGAUAAACGCUGAAUUAGUGGGGGCCCUGAGCUUGUUUCUUCGCAAUGAGAUGCAAAUGAUAUAUUCUAUAAUACAAAGGUCCUGGGUUCGAUCCUGGGCUCAGGAUCUAUCUGUGUGGAGUUCGCACGUUCUCCCCCGUGACUGCGUGGGUUCCCUCCGGGUACGCCGGCGUCCUCCCACCUCCAAAGACAUGCACCUGGGGAUAGGCCCCUCCCACCUCCAAAGACAUGCACCUGGGGAUAGGUUGAUUGGCAACACUAAAUUGGCCCUCGUGUGUGAAUGUUGUCUGUCUAUCUGUGUUGGCCCUGUGAUGAGGUGGCGACUUUUCCAGGGUGGACGCCGCCUUCCGCCUGAAUGCAGCUGAGAUAGGCGCCAGCACACCCCGCUAUCCCCCCAAAAAAGGGACAAGCGGUAGAAAAUGGAUGGAUGGAUGGAUGUUCAUUGGUGUACAUUGUAUCAUGUCACAAAGUUGUAACAAAUAUAACAAAUUGCAACUUCCUGUGAGGAGUUGUAUUGUCCAUCUCUGAACAAGCUUAUUGGUGUGUCUGAUGCAGGGGUCGCUAACCCAAAAUAUGGAAAGAGCCAUAUUGGACAAAAAAUACAGAAAACAAAUCUGUGUGGAGCCGCAACAGAUGAUGUAGGUGUUUAUAUUAGCUAUAUUAGACUACUGUCAAAAUGACUUUGUGUCGCAGGCUGGUGCAAAUCUCGUUGACAGAAAUGUUAAAAUGUAAUAUUUGUUCUACACAUUUUUGCAACAUUAGAAACUAUUGUAAAUCAGAGGUUACUCAUGAAUUGAUUAACGUAGACCCCGACUUAAACAAGUUGAAAAACUUAUUGGGGUGUUACCAUUUAGUGGUCAAUUGUACGGAAUAUGUACUGUACUGUGUAAUCUACUAAUAAAAGUAUCAAUCAAUCAAUCAAUCAAUUAGAUAACUUUUGGAAAUGACUGGCUUUCAGACAGAUAGAGGGAUAGUACUUUAUUGAUUCCUUCAGGAGGGUUCCCUCAAAAAAAUUAAAAUGGCCAAAAGGUAUAGGUGUGGGUGUCCAAGUUAAGGCUGUCUUCUUUUAAUAGAUUUAUUACAAUCUUUGGCAAGCAGGGUAAUGUUUGCUGUGGUCUGGAACAAAAUGGCACACACAAAACUAUGAGAAAUGCAGCCAAAAUUCCAUCCGUCCAUUUUCUACCGCAUUUUCCCUUUGGGGUCGCAGGGGGCGCUGUUGCCUAUCUCAGCUACAAUCGGGCAGAAGGUGGGGUACACCCUGGACAAGUCGCCACCUCAUCGCAGGCAGCCAAAAUUACAUACAGAUAAUGUGUCAUGAGACAUCCAUCCAUCCAUUUUCUACCGCUUAUUCCCUUUUGGGGUCGCGGGUGGCGCAGGCGCCUAUCAGCUACAAUCGGGCAGAAGGUGGGGUACACCCUGGACAAGUCGCCACCUCAUCGCAGGCAGCCAAAAUUACAUACAGAUAAUGUGUCAUGAGACAUGUGAAACUAAAUUAUAUAGAAAGAGGAUACAAGUAAAGGAAAUGAAAUGAGCUGAAAUAUAGCUACAAAUGAGGCCUAAUGAUGCAAUAGAGCUAGCCUAAAUAGCAUGUUAGCAUGGAUUAGCUUGCAGUCAUGCACCGACCAAAUAUUCCUGAUUAGCACUCCAACAAGUCAAGAACAUCAACAAAGCUCACCUUUGUGCAUUCACGCACAGCAUAAAACUUUUGGUGGACAGAAUGAGACAAAAAAGGAGUGGAAGAUUUGACAUGUAAACAAACUGUUGAAGCACAGUCCACACUAUGAUUUUGGGGCGAUCCACCUCCCACAUUUUUCAAGCGGUUUAAACUCCAACUUCAAACUGUGCAGCCUAUUUGGGAAUCGCAGGCUUUCCUUUUGACAAAUUCCAAAAAUUUGCAGAUUUCCCAGAAUUCCAAGUUUUCCGGGACAUUUUUCCCAUUCCAAAUGAAUUGGCCAUUUUUCAAACUUCCAUCGUUUCCACAUUUAAACUACCUUUUUUCCAAGUUCAAAAAAAUUCCAGGAAUUUCCAGAACUCCUGGUUUUCCAAAGCCCUAUUUCCACCCUUUUUUCUGGCGACUACUCCUUCCACAUUUUUCAAAGCAUUUCAACCCUUUUACCAUCAAAUCAUUCCUCUUAAUGAUUGAACUGGAAUUCCCGGUUUUCCCGAAAUUCCAGGAAUUCCGUAAUACCAUUUCUCAAUUCAACAUGUUACUUCAACAUUUCUCGACUGAUUAAAACAAUUCUAACACCAACCAUUUCAACUCAUUCAGACCAUUUAAGUAUUUUUUACCAUUUAAAAAAAAAAAAUCCCGCUUUUCCCGAAAUCACUAUUUUGGGGGAAAUUCCCAUUGAAAUGAAUGGGACAUUCUACAAAGUUCCACUACCCCCACAUUUUUCAUCUGAUUCCAACUGUUCCAACUUCAAAAUAUUCAGCCUGUUUGGGAAUGAUGUGCUCUACAACAAUUCUAGAAAAAAAUCCAGAAUUUCAGUUCAACUUCAGCAUUGGAGCAUUCACAUGCAAUUCCUGAAGGAAUUGCCUGAUCUAGUUACAUAUCACGUCGUUACAUGCCCACUGGGCCACAUUUUGGAGAGCCUUGCACUCUGGCUUCACUUCAAAGAAUAUACACAAAAACUGAAAUCAAAGCCAAAUUCAAUAUAUCCUUACAUUUUUCCGAAUAAGAUAUUUUUUCUGUUAGAACAAUUAGCCUGUCCUUGUAAUACACCUGAGACUUUAGAAAGGCAAAACAGAAGCCGUUAGAAGAAGGAAAUGGACACGUCAAAACAAGUAAAAUUGUCUUUGCCAAGUUAUUUUAAGAAGUACAGUACAGGCCAAAAGUUCGGACACACCUUCUCAUUUCAAUGGGUUUUCUUUAUUUGCAUGACUAUUUAAAUUGUCACCAAAGGCAUCAAAGCUAUGACACCUGUGAAGUGAAAACCAUUUCAGGUGACUACCUUUUGAAGCUCAUGGAGAGAAUGCCACGAGUGUGCAAAACAGUAAUCAGACCAAAGGGUGGCUUUUUUAAAGAAACUAGAAUAUAAAACAUGUUUUCAGUUGUUGAACCUGUUUUGUUAAGUACAUAAUUCCACAUGUGUUCAUUCAUAGUCUUGAUGCCUUCAGUGACUAUCUACAAUGUAAAUAGUCAUGAAAACAAAGAAAACCAAUUGAAUGAAACGGAUUUGUUCAAACUUUUGGCCUGUACUGUACAUCUUGGAAAUCUAGAGCAUAUUACUUCAGAUAACCAAAUUGGUGUAACAUAUAAAGUGGUUUGUGAAGUUUGAGGGAUGUUGUCAGUGUUUGCAGAGUAGCUUCCAGUAAGUGCAGACAUUAUAAAGGUAAUAGUGACACAUACUCUAUCCACUCUCCUCUGCAUCCAUACAGUACAUUUGAAUAAAAGGCUGGUCAAUUAUUUAAUGCUGUGACAAAUUGUGACCUGCAGAUAAAGACAAAUGACCAACUGCCAGGAACAAAGUUAUGCUUUGAACCCUAUACUUAAUUUUCAAAAUAUCUUCGCUCCUGAAACCGAAAAAAAAAAAAGUGGCGCCAAUGCAUACACACAGGGAGAGGUGCAUGAGUCAUCUAUCCCGUCAUCCGCACAAGAGCUAUUUUUAGUUUUGGAGCAGCUUUGGUGCAGACUGAUUGACCAUUGUGCAAGAAGGAUGCAGGUUCAGAAUAUAUGAACACCUGGAGAGAGCAGGGACAUCCUCUGAGACAGAAAAGGCAUUAAGACACUAGACUUGAGAAACACCUCUUCCUAUAUUAAUCAAUCAAUCACACGUCUUGUCUAGAAAACAUCCAAUGUAAGGGUGCAAAUAUGUCUGAACAAAAGUGAAAAAGCAAAUGAGUCCAAUAUUUAUUCAUCUAGAUCAUUAUGAAAGCAAUACGAUUGAUAAAAAAAACAAGCAGGGGCCAAAAAGGUACGCUUGUAGGAGUUUGGUGUGGGAGAACCUGAUCAUCCAAAAGGAAUUCGUGCAGGAAUGCUGGAUGUAUAGAUUCUAUACAAGACUACAUUGUGUGUGACGUCUCAGUACAAUGUUGCAUCAUUGGUCAUGAUGCAUGUAAAACAUGCUGGAUGUAUAGAUUCUAUACAAGACUACAUUGUGUGUGACGUCUCAGUACAAUGUUGCAUCAUUGGUCAUGAUGCAUGUACAACAAAAACGUGAAGAAAUUAAUAUCAGCAAAAAAAAUGAUCCAUUCAUCCAUAUGCUACCGCUUCUUCCCUUUUUGGGGUCACGGGGGCCUAUCUCAGCUACAAUCGGGCGGAAAGCGGGGUACACCCUGGACAAGUCGCCACCUCACAUAAUUAAAUAUAGGAUUACUUCUGCUCUCAUCGACUUGCAUCUAUAAUCUCUGGUAUCAGCUCUGAUACAAGCAGUCUUGCAGCGUGUUUACUUGUGCAAACAUGAAAAGCCAGUUUUAUUUUAUUUAUUUGAAUUAGGACAAUGCAUAUUUGUCAACAUAGAGCAACAAUGUAAAUAUGCCGGAGAUAGCACAAUACCUCAUUUUCAUCCAUUGUCCUAAGGCAGGUGAUGGUACAAAAGAAUACAUAAAUCACAAGACAUUACACAUUACAAGCAUACCAUGGACAAAAAAAUAAAACAAACGGGGAAAAAAACUAAGUGAAUAAUCUGUGCGUGCAUGUCUGAUUAGUUUUCAAGCACUGUUUCAGUGCAGUUUUAAAUAUGAAAUGAGUGUCACAGUUUUUGACAUGGGCUGGCAGCCUUUUCCAUGACUGUAUGCCUCUGAUAGACCCCACCAUUUGGUCAAAUUUAGACAAGCGGUAGUAAAAGGAUGGAUUGAUAGUCCUGCGCCUUUGUACGUUGCAGCCCCCUCUGGUCACUGCUCUGGUGUUUACUUGACUGCUAUUUUAACAUCUAAAUGUCCUCCAAUAAGCACACAAGGUUGGUCUUUUCAUGUAUUUUAGUUUUUUUUGUAUAUGUAAACAGACUAUAUGCUACUUGGAAAAUAAUUCAAUCAUUUGUUUUUUUUAACUUUGAAAAAUGAACACCCAUUUGAUAUUUGUUUGACUAGUACUGGUACUCUGAAUUAGUGAAACUAGAAGCUGGCCGUGACACCGCAUCUAAGCACACAAUACCACACAAGCUAUGCAUAAUAAGUGUAAUAAGAUUCCUUACAAUAUUGUAGUCUAAAACAGGACAUGUGUCAAGAUAAACAAGUGUCAAAUAAUUACAGUUGCAUAUUACUUACACAUACAAAGUCUUUAAGGCAGAAGCAUAUUAGGAAGUAUCCAGUAACAAACAUGUCUGCAUCAUAAAAAGCUUAUUGCGUCAGCUUAGUUUAAUGAAUUAUUGUGUUCCAAAAGGUGCCACCAAAAAAGGGAUUACCACUCUACUUAAACUUGAAGACAACAUAAGUCCAUUCCAGAUGGUUAAUAAUAAAUAUGCUGGUGUUUUUCAUACCUCGCAUUAUUCUCUGUUUAAGUCAUUUAAGCCUUUUCUGACAAUCCACAAAACACAAUGAAUAAAGUUUGUAUGACUCAUACUGAUAUCGUAUCAAUAUCGGUAUCGGCCAAUACUCAAGGCUCCAAUAUCGGUAUUUUAUUGCAAGUGACAAAGUUAUAUUGGGACAGCCCCGGAAAUUAGUAGGCUACGGACAGUGGGACUUAUUGUUCAUUGAGAAGAAAUACUAGAUUGAGUUCAGAAAAAGUUGAUUUUGCAAUGCAUUGUGGGGGCCGGGUAGCCAUUGUUGCUGGUUAAAGCUUUUGUUCACAUGGCUGUAUUCAGCAGUAUUGUGAGAGAGAGAGCAACACAUUGGGUUAAAAUGGAUCGUACCAAAAAUAAAAUUAAAGGACUGUACCGAGAAAAACUAUUCCAAAUGCUGGCUGGAGAAAAUUCGUUAAAUUUGUGGAAUUAAGCCAUACAGUAUGACCACAUUCAAUGGACAAGCGAUUCGGGUAAUCCGAAGCCAAACUUGUCCUGCAUCUCGUCAACCGAGUCAGUUUUUAAACAGACAAAAUUCUCGGAAGGCCAUGUCGGUAAAGGCUGACGGGCAAAUCAACUUUGGGUGCUUGCAUGACCUCGAAAUGUAACAUCUAAGAGAGAAGACUGUUGUCAACAUAACUUGUCACUGUGUGCUUUCACCUGGACCAAAUUGUUUCAAACUACAUAUAUUUUAAGCUUGAAACACAUGUGGGAAAUAUUCAAGGUUCUCUCAGUUAUUGAUACUAGAAUAGGGGCAUUGCUUUUUUCCAAAAUAUUGUAUGUUUUUCGUGACUCCUAGCUGGCUUAGGUAACACUAGCGCUAACAGCCAACUAAAUCCUAUGUAGGAAACAGAAUAAAACAUGCUUUGAUUUCAACUUACCAGUGUGAAAAUGCCGUAAAAACACCAAUAUGUAGCAGGUGAUGGCAUUAAAAAGUCAUGUUUGAUCAUCUCUCGGCUGCUAUCCAGGCUUUUCGGCCUCUCUUUAAAUGGCUCACUAGCCGAGUUCUUUCGCCUUUGCUUCUAUGCUGGAAUAAGACAAAUCUCACCAACCUUAUUUUUUAAGUGUGGCCGUUACUGAUGCCACGUUUGCGCCGUGUUUUGAACUCGUUAAAUAAAAACUAAAACUUUAGGACGUAGUCUUUUAUUCAGCAGUGUAAAUAAGCUAUUGAGAUGCAUGCAAGACCCACAAUGCAUUGUGUUUCCACAUCACACUUUCAGGCCCAAUUCCAGGCCUGGGCAAUUAUUUUGACUCGGGGGCCAAAUUAAGAGGAAAAAAAUUUGUCUGGGGGCCGGUAUAUCUAUUAAUACAAAACAUCAAAAUAAUGUCUGAUUGAAUGCUAAACUUUAUGAAAGCGGAAUGUAAUUUUACUUUUUUUUACUGAAUGAGACACCCAGAAUAGAAUGUACAUGAAAAAAAAAAGAAUGUGGGUUUUACAAUAUUAACUAUGAACGAUAAAACACUGAAUAUUGACAACAUAUAAACGUCAUACACCUUCUCGAGCGAAAUAUGUGACUGUGACUUAGAUUACUUUAGUAACUAGUAUUUAAUGCAAAAGCGCAGAUUCUAACCAUUGAAAUACUUUGUAUAGUCCAAGACUUACUGUCAUUUGAAAACAUCACUGCACAUCAUAAUGGCAGCUAAAGUUUCCAUCUUAAAGAGCAAAAAUAGUUACUUGGCAAUGUCCGGCGGGCCAGAUUGAAAAGUUUGACGGGCCCCAUGCGGCCCCCGAGCCUUAAUUUGCCCAGGUCAGCCCUAUUCUCUGGUUGGCCCUGGUAUGUAUAACGUGUGUUGAGAAGCAGAUUUACGAUGCCAUCUACAGUGCAGAGUUGCAAUGACAACUUACAUCAUAAUGUCCCCAUCAUAAUCUCAUUAUAAUGUCUUUAUGAGCAAUUGCGUAACAGGUCCAAUGUUUUCAGAUAAAUGAAAUAUGGUAAACACUGCUAACAUAUUGUAGAAAGUAUCCCUAGACGAAUGGAAACUGCUGCAUAUUUUCUCAUUUUUUCAUGUCCUAAUGAUAUUGUCUAUAUUGUAUAUAUCAUAAUAUUAUUAGUAUCGGCCAAACAAUAUAAACACUUUCUUGAUAAUAUAGGACGCCGCAACAGACAAUUGGAUCUAUGACUCUUUCAUCCAUUCAUUCUCCAUUUUGUAAUCAAUCUUCAUUGCUUCAUUGGGUGUAGUGGAACGACCCCCCCUCCAUAAUCCAUAUUAGAAAGGUUUGGUUGCUAGGCAGGCACCACAUCAUAGUAACCAUGGGAAUGUGGAGUGAGUGUUGGGGGUUGGCUGUCGCAACAACAUACUAAUGGUGGGGGGAGGACUGAGACAAGUUCAAGGCCACUGUUUCUCAAAUAGUGUAUUGAGUGUGUGUGUGUGUGUGUGUGUGUGUGUGUGUGUGUGUGUGUGUGUGUGUGUGUGUGUGUGUGGAGAGAGAGAGUGGGGUGUAGAGCAAUGAGACAAAACAAAGGGAAAGGAAUAGAGAGAGAAUUUAAGCAGCUGUGGUGUAACUGGUACUGGCGAGGACACUGGUGUUGUCCAUCCAUCCAUUUUCUACUGGUUGUCCCUUUUGGGGUCGCGGGAGCCUAUCUCAGCUGCAUUUGGGCGGAAGGCGGGGUACACCCUGGACAAAUCGCCACCUCAUCGCAGGCACAACACAGACAGAACAUUCACACUCACAUUCACAUACUAGGGGUCAAUUUAGUGUUGGCAAUCAACCUAUCCCCAGGUGCAUGUCUUUGGAGGAAGCCGGAGUACCCGGAGGGAACCCACGCAGUUAAGGGGAGAACAUGCAAACUCCACACAGAAAAAUCCCGAGCCCGGGAUUGAACCCAGGACUGCAGGACCUUCGUAUUGUGAAGCAGAUGCACUAACCACCGUGCCAGUGUUGUAUAACAGAAUAAUAAAAUAAAAAACACACAUUCCAAAGACAAUUGUUCAAUCCAGGAUCAUUUUAGAUUUUCUUGGGAACUGUUCUCAUUCUAGAGAUGGGAUAAGAUAUGCAUUUAAAAAGCAAGUAUGUCUCUGCAGGACGGUCCUUAAUACUACACUAGAGAUAAAGAUCAAUACGUAUGCACACACUAUUUACUGUAAACACAGCAGGCACAGCGAGGUGUUCAAGACAAUAUUGUCACUGACGUCUGUAUUGCAGCUGAAAAUAUGUAAUUAAUGUUUUUAGGAUGAGGACUGGCACCUCGUUUUAAGUCUUCAAUGAAAUAUUGCACGGUGCACGUCAGUAUUAAUGACCCAAUAAGUCAGGCAAAAAUGAGCAUCUCGCUACACAUUGACUUAUAGUGACAGUAUUACUUUGAAAGGGAUCAUUUGCAAUUUAAAUAAAUAAAUGAUAAAUGGGUUGUACUUGUAUAGCGCUUUUCUAUCUUCAAGGUACUCAAAGCGCUUUGACACUACUUCCACAUUUACCCAUUCACACACUGAUGGAGGGAGCUGCCAUGCAAGGCGCCAACCAGCACCCAUCAGGAGCAAGGGUGAAGUGUCUUGCUCAGGACACA